rnacentral:rRNA from 1 species
AGUGAACGCUGGCGGUAGGCCUAACACAUGCAAGUCGAACGGCAGCACAGUAAGAGCUUGCUCUUACGGGUGGCGAGUGGCGGACGGGUGAGGAAUACAUCGGAAUCUACUUUUUCGUGGGGGAUAACGUAGGGAAACUUACGCUAAUACCGCAUACGACCUACGGGUGAAAGCAGGGGAUCUUCGGACCUUGCGCGAUUGAAUGGGCCGAUGUCGGAUUAGCUAGUUGGCGGGGUAAAGGCCCACCAAGGCGACGAUCCGUAGCUGGUCUGAGAGGAUGAUCAGCCACACUGGAACUGAGACACGGUCCAGACUCCUGCGGGAGGCAGCAGUGGGGAAUAUUGGACAAGGGGCGCAAGCCUGAUCCAGCCAUACCGCGUGGGUGAAGAAGGCCUUCGGGUUGAAAAGCCCUUUUGUGGGGAAAGAAAAGCAGCAGGUUAAUACCCCGCUGUUCUGACGGUACCCAAAGAAUAAGCACCGGCUAACUUCG